ACUGAAUAGAUACCCUGGUAGUCCACGCCGUAAACGAUGAUAACUAGCUGUCCGGGUUCAUGGAAAUUCGGGUGGCGCAGCUAACGCAUUAAGUUAUCCGCCUGGGGAGUACGGUCGCAAGAUUAAAAACUCAAAGGAAUUGACGGGGGCCUGCACAAGCGGUGGAGCAUGUGGUUUAAUUCGAAGCAACGCGCAGAACCUUACCAACGUUUGACAUCCUCAUCGCGAUUUCCAGAGAUGGAUUUCUUCAGUUCGGCUGGAUGAGUGACAGGUGCUGCAUGGCUGUCGUCAGCUCGUGUCGUGAGAU
rnacentral:rRNA from 1 species